CAGCUCCCUUUCAGUAGAAACUGGCCAUGCUACGUAUUCAAUUUAGUCUUCCUCUCUUAGGUAACUGAGUGCCUUUAAAUGAGGUGAGUUUCACAUUUGUCAUAAUUUUGUGAUUCCUUAGAAGUCACUAAGAUCAAACUGCUGGCAGCUGUCCUGUAGCAGCAAACCAACAUAUGGUGGAAAGCAAAGCAGGUUCUCCUCUUUUGGAGUUUCAGCCAGUGAGAAGGAAAUCCAGUUCCUCUUCUGUCUGUUCAGCUCGCUAGAGCAGCUUCUCUUCAAAUCCACAGCAGCAAUUAUCCUUUGGCCUUAAACUGUGGAAUGUGAAGAUUGAUUUAGCUCACCUUUACCUACAGUUUCUUCAAGGUAAUCUAGGC
rnacentral:lncRNA from 1 species